rnacentral:rRNA from 1 species
UACGGGGGGAGCAAGCGUUGUUCGGAUUUACUGGGCGUAAAGGGCUCGUAGGCGGCCUUCUAAGUCGAACGUGAAAUCCCCGGGCUCAACCCGGGAACUGCGUCCGAUACUGGAAGGCUUGAAUCCGGGAGAGGGAUGCGGAAUUCCAGGUGUAGCGGUGAAAUGCGUAGAUAUCUGGAGGAACACCGGUGGCGAAGGCGGCAUCCUGGACCGGCAUUGACGCUGAGGCGCGAAAGCCAGGGGAGCAAACGGG